rnacentral:rRNA from 1 species
CCUACGGGUGGCAGCAGUGAGGAAUAUUGGUCAAUGGACGCAAGUCUGAACCAGCCAAGCCGCGUGCAGGAAGACGGCCCUAUGAGUUGUAAACUGCUUUUAUACAAGAGUAAACUUGAAUACGUGUGUUCAGCUGUAUGUACUUUACGAAUAAGGAUCGGCUAACUCCGUGCCAGCAGCCGCGGUAAUACGGAGGAUCCAAGCGUUAUCCGGAUUUAUUGGGAUUAAAGGGUGCGUAGAUGGGUUUUUAAGUCAGCGGUGAAAGUUUGUGGCUCAACCAUAAAAUUGCCGUUGAUACUGGGAGCCUUGAGUAUAGUUGAGGCAGGCGGAAUGCGUGGUGUAGCGGUGAAAUGCUUAGAUAUCACGCAGAACCCCGAUUGCGAAGGCAGCCUGCUAAGCCAUGACUGACGCUGAUGCACGAAAGUGUGGGGAUCAAACAGGAUUAGAUACCCGAGUAGUC